CCAGACUCCUACGGGAGGCAGCAGUGGGAGAUAUUGCACAAUGGGGGAAACCCUGAUGCAGCGACGCCGCGUGAGUGAAGAAGUAAUUCGUUACGUAAAGCUCUAUCAGCAGGGAAGAAAAUGACGGUACCUGACUAAGAAGCCCCGGCUGACUACGUGCCAGCAGCCGCGGUAAUACGUAUGGUGCAAGCGUUAUCCGGAUUUACUGGGUGUAAAGGGAGCGCAGGCGGCGCGUUAAGCCUGGUGUGAAAGCCCGCGGCCCAACCGCGGGACUGCAUUGGGAACUGGCGCGCUGGAGUGCCGGAGGGGUAGGCGGAAUUCCUAGUGUAGCGGUGAAAUGCGUAGAUAUUAGGAGGAACACCAGUGGCGAAGGCGACUUUCUGGACUGUACCUGACGCUGAGGCGCGAAAGCGUGGGUAGCGAACGGGAUUAGAUACCCCCGUAAAC
rnacentral:rRNA from 1 species